rnacentral:rRNA from 1 species
GGCUUAACACAUGCAAGUCGAACGCUUGUAGCAAUACAAGAGUGGCGCACGGGUGAGUAACACGUGGGAACAUGCCCUUUGGUGAGGAAUAACAGCGGGAAACUGCUGCUAAUACCUCAUACGCCCUUCGGGGGAAAGAUUUAUCGCCAAAGGAUUGGCCCGCGUCAGAUUAGCUUGUUGGUGGGGUAAUGGCCUACCAAGGCUCCGAUCUGUAGCUGGUCUGAGAGGACGACCAGCCACACUGGAACUGAGACACGGUCCAGACUCCUACGGGAGGCAGCAGUGGGGAAUAUUGGCCAAUGGGGGAAACCCUGAUCCAGCCAUGCCGCGUGAGUUUUAGCCUUAGGGUUGUAAAGCUC